GGCUCUGUGGCGCAAUGGAUAGCGCAUUGGACUUCUAGUUGAUCUUACUAAGUUAUUCAAAGGUUGUGGUUUCGAAUCCCACCAGAGUCA
rnacentral:tRNA from 1 species